rnacentral:rRNA from 1 species
GAUGAACGCUAGCUACAGGCUUAACACAUGCAAGUCGAGGGGUAACGAGAGGAAAGCUUGCUUUCCUUGUCAACGACCGGCGCACGGGUGAGUAACGCGUAUCCAACCUGCCCCCAACUAGGGAAUAACCUUGCGAAAGUAAGACUAAUACCCUAUAAUUUCCUCAGAUGUCAUCUGACGAGGAAUAAAGAUUUAUCGGUUGUGGAUGGGGAUGCGUCUGAUUAGCUUGUUGGCGGGGUAACGGCCCACCAAGGCAACGAUCAGUAGGGGUUCUGAGAGGAAGGUCCCCCAAAUUGGAACUGAGACACGGUCCAAACUCCUACGGGAGGAAGCAGUGAGGAAUAUUGGUCAAUGGGCGGAAGCCUGAACCAGCCAAGUAGCGUGCAGGAUGACGGCCCUAUGGGUUGUAAACUGCUUUUAUACAGGAAUAAAGUUAGCCACGUGUGGUUAUUUGUAGGUACUGUAUGAAUAAGGACCGGCUAAUUCCGUGCCAGCCGCCGCCGUAA